UUUGCAGACUGAGAAUCUAUCCGUCAUACACGCUUUUGAUGGCGAAUCAUUUGAGCGGUGGUACAUAAAUCAGGAACCUAGGAAGAGGCGUCUUUCAGAUGCACACGAGUUGGUGUCAUAAUUCUAUAACAUAAAAGAGACCACAAGCAACAUUUAUGGUGUGCAGCAAUACUGGGAGCAACAAAGAUAUCUCCGGAAGAAAAUUUGGCUUCAAACCUGGCUAAGACGGGAAAUUGAGGCCCUUAGGCCAUGUUCGUUUGAUCCCAAAACCAUAGUGAUUGAGGGGGAUUGGAAAGAAUUGGAGAGGAUUUUGACUUGUAGAGGAUUUAAUCCCCCUCAAUCCUUAUAGAUUGGCACAAGACGAACAGGGCCUUACUCGGGUAAGCCGUUGUUACCUAUUAGCACUACAGCUAUUGCAUAGGUUACAAGAAUCAUGAGUGCCUUUAGCUACUGGGGUAGGCGACCUAGCUUUUGUUAAGGACGAGAACGUUGAGGUCAUAGUCCACCAUAUUCAGGUGUCAUCAGAUCCUUCAUGAAGAGGCUCGAAAAGGAGCACACGUCGUCAAGGACGACUUCAGCAGAGAAGAUGCUGCUAGGCCGUUCCUCCUCGGCCGAACGCGUCGCCGAGGUGGAGGCGAGCUCUUCCUGGCCUCGGAUCUCAACAUGGAAGCCUACAACAAACUGCGUGUCCAGAGGUUUAGUGAGUCCAGCUCUCAUCUAACAAGAGAGCAAGAUGCACUGCCUCGCUUGAGGAGCACUACAUGUAUUUCCUGUGUAACGACACGGACUGUGAUGAGAUGUAGUAGUGAUCUGCGAUUUCUUUUUCUUUUUUUGGCAACAUGCGUCCUUGUUAAUCCCUGGUACUAUGCUGCCUUUUUUUAGCCUGGCCCCGAUUACUAGA